rnacentral:lncRNA from 1 species
AUGGUGUGAAUGACUGUUCUGGCGGAUGCUCUCAAGAGCAUCAACAAUGCUGAGAAGAGAGGCAAACGCCAGGUCCUCAUCAGGCGUGUUCUAAAGUCAUCGUUCAGUUCUUAACCGUGAUGAUGAAGCAUGGGCACAUUGGUGAAUUCUAGAUCAUUGAUGAUCACAGAGCUGGGAAGAUUGUUGUGAACCUCACAGGAAGGUUGAACAAGUGUGGAAUUAUAAGCCCCAGAUUUGAUAUUCAACUCAAAGACCUAGAGAAAUGGCAGAACAACCUGCUCCUAUCACUGCAGUUUGGCUUCAUCGUGCUGACAACCUUGGCUGGCAUCAUGGACCAUGAAGAGGCAAGAUGAAAACAUACAGGAGGGAAAAUCCUGGGAUUCUUUUU